UCCACUGCUAUUAGAUUGACAAUUUUCAAACCCCCAACAUCCUUUUAUAGGAUUCAAUGUGAGUAGAAUCCACAAAUAGUUCUUGGAUAGCAAUAAAUUGGAGUUUGUACAUGUUGGAUAUGAAUUUUAUUCUUUCAAAAUCCUCCUGGACUUUGUCCCUCUAAUAUUCCAUAUAAUGGAACUAAUCAUUAAAUGAAUGAGAUUGGGGAACAAUUUGUUUGGCUUUGAUCUUUGCCCUAGUGACAGGGGAGAGACCUCCAGUAGCAUUAUUCUCUUUUUUCUUAUUUUUCUCACCUUGCCUAGGUGAUAAAUUCUCUCUCAUGAUGAGAUCCUUUGUCUGCUCUUCCACUGCAAUCUCUCCAGACUGGUAUUUCCAUGAGGUUCUUAGAGCAAAAGCAUUUAGAAGCUCUUCUUCAUCUGUAGAAUUGCACUCUUCAUAUUUGUCUUCUUCCUCCCCUUUCUCAUGUAUGUCUUCAUCGGAUUCAUCAGAUGCAUAUUCACUAGUGUUGUCUUCAUCGGACUCACCAUGUGUUGUUAUCAUUAAUGGUCCAGUUUUAUCUUUCUCCGCCUAAGAUUCUCCAUUGAUGUUUGAGGACCCCAGAGGUGUACACCAAUAGUGAUGCCCUUAUCUUUUUAGUCACAGUAUGGCUAAUAACUUCGGGGUUAGAAGAAACCAUAUUGGAGUUGUUUGUGAUAUGUGUUUCAGAAACCUUAAGAUGUGUCAUGUUAUUCACCUCUGUAUAAGUGGUUAUAGCAUUUGAACUAUCAUUUACAGUAUUUUAGGGAGAUAAGCAUGCUUCAACAUGUUUCUCACCCCACCUUGUUCUGUGCCAAAUUAUCUUCUUUAUCGUUGGACUCCAACUCCUUGGAACUACUUUUA